rnacentral:rRNA from 1 species
UUCAGAGGUCUCAAGCGUUGUUCGGAUUCAUUGGGCGUAAAGGGUGUGUAGGUGGCGCCGUAAGUCGGGUGUGAAAUUUCGGAGCUUAACUCCGAAACUGCAUUCGAUACUGCGGUGCUUGAGGACUGGAGAGGAGACUGGAAUUCAUGGUGUAGCAGUGAAAUGCGUAGAGAUCAUGAGGAAGACCAGUGGCGAAGGCGGGUCUCUGGACAGUUCCUGACACUGAGACACGAAGGCCAGGGGAGCAAACGGG